UACAGAGGGUGCAAGCGUUGUCCGGAAUUAUUGGGCGUAAAGAGCUCGUAGGCGGUUUGUCGCGUCUGCUGUGAAAACUCGGGGCUUAACUCCGGGCCUGCAGUGGGUACGGGCAGACUAGAGUGCGGUAGGGGAGACUGGAAUUCCUGGUGUAGCGGUGAAAUGCGCAGAUAUCAGGAGGAACACCGGUGGCGAAGGCGGGUCUCUGGGCCGUAACUGACGCUGAGGAGCGAAAGCGUGGGGAGCGAACAGG
rnacentral:rRNA from 1 species